CCUACGGGCGGCAGCAGUGAGGAAUAUUGGUCAAUGGGCGCUAGCCUGAACCAGCCAAGUAGCGUGAAGGAUGACUGCCCUAUGGGUUGUAAACUUCUUUUAUAUGGGAAUAAAGUGCAGUAUGUAUACUGCUUUGCAUGUACCUUAUGAAUAAGGAUCGGCUAACUCCGUGCCAGCAGCCGCGGUAAUACGGAGGAUCCGAGCGUUAUCCGGAUUUAUUGGGUUUAAAGGGAGCGUAGGCGGGUUGUUAAGUCAGUUGUGAAAGUUUGCGGCUCAACCGUAAAAUUGCAGUUGAUACUGGCAGCCUUGAGUACAGUAGAGGUAGGCGGAAUUCGUGGUGUAGCGGUGAAAUGCUUAGAUAUCACGAAGAACUCCGAGUGCGAAGGCAGCCUGCUGGACUGUAACUGACGCUGAUGCUCGAAAGUGUGGGUAUCAAACAGGAUUAGAUACCCCAGUAGUC
rnacentral:rRNA from 1 species